GUUGAGGAUGGUCCCAUGGCUUCCUUCCUCUUCUCGCGCGGUCAUUCUUCCCCUUUUCCCCUCCGCCGCGGGUGGGCUGGUAAGUCGGUAGGUAAGGGAUCAAUCGGUUUCGAUCUCACCUCGUUCGCUGCCGUUUGUUGAUUGAUGAUCAGGCGCACCAACUAGCCGGAUAGAUUGCCCGCUUGCUCGUCCUUUUCUGGUGCUUGAUCCGUUCGGUUUGGGGGGGGUCUAGUUUCGGCGAUUUGCUUCUGCUGUUGUGUUAGUUUUCUGAACACAGUAUCUCUUUCGAUUGGUUUAUGGCUAAUUGUGGUUUGCUGUGUUGGGUACAAUAUGCGCGAUCGGUUGGUUUGUGUCAAUUCAUGUUUGGUGCGAUGGAUUUGUCAUGGAUAUUUUGGGCUUGAUCAAAGGCUAGAUGAACUGAAGUUUUCGCUCUGAAUUGGUCAUGGUUAGGAUUGCUCACUGGCCUCAGAUUAUUGUUCGGUUCCUUUCAAGUUCGUGAUGCUUGGUUUUGUUUGAGACCGUUCGUCUGCUUGCAGCUAUGCAGUUUUUCCUUCGGAUCUAGUAAUUUUUAUGAUAAGGUCAAGUCAUAUCAGAAAAUUUAAGGUCUGUUCAGAGCUUUCAAAUCACCGGCUUUAACUUGUUCAAUUUCGGCAAGACAUACUCUUCAGAUUAUCUUGAAUAUGGUUGUGUGUCAUCUUAACCGGACCAUGUAUUGCUUUUUGGCUUUGAUAAAAAUCGUCACUAUGUGCUAGGGCGUUGGAAUGAUUCUUCUGUGUCAGUUCUUAGUUAAAGUUUAACAUCAGGAUUUCUCGCGAGGAUUUAAGGAGCUCUUUUUGACCGCCUUCCCUGUGGAUUAAUUUAUCCUAGUACAGGAACUACAGAUUACUUGCUGCUUGACCUGCUCAGUUUGAGGUACAGAUCUCGUGAUUUCCCUGUUUACUGGUGUUAGUUUUAGGAACCUUGAUGCUUUGGUUUAGGGCUAUGGUUAAUUGCAAUUUAUUGAAAUUUCAAUAUGUCAAUAUUGUGCAGUUGGUUUGCUUCCAUUACAAGCAACUGUCCAAGAACAUUUUAUUUGUAAUACGAACAUUUAUAAACCAGAGAAAUUGAAGCUUGUUGUAUGGGAUUGGUCAUUGUUAGGAAUAGUCUUUGGUGUAUAAGAUGUUUUCUCCAUUCCAUUCAAGACUGCUGCUACGCUUUUGGGUCAAAAUAACAAGUGAGAUUGAUAUUAUUUGGAGGCCAUUUGUCUGCUUGGAAAACUCUGGUUAUUUAAGUCCAUCCUGCUGCGCUUUUAUGGUUGUCUUGUCAGAACAUAGACAUGGCCAUAGUUCUCCGAGAAUUUGACGUUAACUUGUUUACUUCCGGAAAAGCUAUAUCAGUCAGUUAUUAACUUGCUGUGAGGGUGGUUAUGUAGUAACUAAGAAGACACAUCCUAAAGUUUCUGUGGUAGACGAUUCAUUUGGCAGUUCUUUCGAACAAUAUUACAAGGUUGUGAAGGUGAUUCUGAAAUCUUUUGACUACUUUGGGUGAAAUUAAUUUGAAGAUUUAUUUCAAGAACAUUUAUGGACCUCAACAUUAUAAAGCCAUCUGUUUGAAGUUUCUUCUGAGUAGAAACAAUUGCUUUAUGAACCAUGGAGGAGUUCUCAGUAGCAGUAUUUGAUUUCUACUUGGUCCAGCUUGCAUCUCCAGUAGUAUCCUUUACAUAUGGGCUUGUACUGUUCCAUAACUAGCUAGGAUAUGGGUUCAUUUCAACAUAUGAUUGGCCCUCUUGUAUGUUGGUUUGGUGUCAUCUUGUAAUUUGUGUGUUCAUUAAGCUUCCCUCUGAUGUUGGAAAUUGUAAUUAUCAAAUGAUAUAGACGUCCAUAUACUGAUUUAGUCUGUAUAAUAGUUGUAACAUGGUAAUUUGUUUUGAUAAUCCUGAGUUGUAACAUGGUAAUUUUGUCCAUAUACUGAUUUAGUCUGUAUAGAAUGAAACUCUAUGGCUCUUGUGGCAUUGUUC
rnacentral:sRNA from 1 species